rnacentral:lncRNA from 1 species
UUCUCUUUUUUUUUUCUUUUUCGGAACACUCACUUAUAUUCAUCGGCUUCCCUGCGUAGAGUGUGUGUGAGAUGGUGCUGACUGCUGAAAUAAACUACUCAAGAGCUGUCAGAGAAUGAGAAUUUAAGGCUAAAACAUAAUAAAAAUUCAACUCAAUUUCCAUAUGCAGGAGACUUACGGUGUUAAAACAAUACCGAUCUUGUGAAUUUUUCUCAAGUCUCCGCAAACUCGACUCAAAGUAAUCUAUAGCCUAAAACUUUCAAGAAGAUGCAAUUUUUUUAGAAAGAAAACAAAAACAAAACAAAACAAAGAACAAAAACAAAGAAACUAAAGUAUUCCCUCCCCCACACUUAAAAUAUGCAUUGUCCUCAAUGAAAGAAACAAACAUAAAAUAAGAGAGAGAAGAGAGAGGAAAGAACACACCCGAGUAGUCAAGGAGGAUAGGUGAUCACAUAAGCAGCCUUUCCCAAAGAGAUAUAUUCUACAUUUUCUUCUUCCAAAGUGGGGUUGUCAUGGAAUAGCUUUGGGUAAUGUCCAUUGAACUUGAAAUUUUUAUUAGUAUCUUCG